rnacentral:rRNA from 1 species
UACGGAGGGUGCAAACGUUGUCCGGAAUUACUGGGCGUAAAGCGCAUGUAGGUGGCCUUGUCAGUGAAUGAUUAAAUCCCAACGCUUAACGUUGGAUCGGUUGUUCAUACUGCAAGGCUAGAGGAAGACAGGGGCAGAUGGGAACUUUAAGUGUAGGAGUGAUAUCCGUAGAUAUUUAAAGGAACAACCAAUGGCGAAGGCAGUCUGCUGGGUCUUUUCUGACACUGAGAUGCGAAAGUGUGGGGAGCAAACGGG